rnacentral:rRNA from 1 species
GAUGAACGCUAGCGGCAGGCCUAAUACAUGCAAGUCGAACGGUCCGCUUCGGCGGAUAGUGGCGCACGGGUGCGUAACACGUAUGCAACCUACCUUACAUUGGGGGAUAGCCUUUCGAAAGGGAGAUUAAUACCGCAUAAGACAGUAGCUGGGCAUCCAGUAGCUGUUAAAGAUUUAUCGAUGUAAGCUGGGCAUGCGUCCAAUUAGUUAGUUGGUGAGGUAACGGCUCACCAAGACGAUGAUUGGUAGGGGAACUGAGAGGUCAAUCCCCCACACUGGCACUGAGAUACGGGCCAGACUCCUACGGGAGGCAGCAGUAGGGAAUAUUGGGCAAUGGACGCAAGUCUGACCCAGCCAUGCCGCGUGCAGGAAGAAGGCGUUCUGCGCUGUAAACUGCUUUUAUAUAGGAAGAAACGACCCUUGCGAGGGGCAUUGACGGUAUUAUAUGAAUAAGCACCGGCUAACUCCGUGCCAGCCGCCGCGGUAACAC